CGAAAGGCGUAGUCGAUGGGAAACAGGUUAAUAUUCCUGUACUUGGUGUUACUGCGAAGGGGGGACGGAGAAGGCUAUGUUGGCCGGGCGACGGUUGUCCCGGUUUAAGCGUGUAGGCUGGUUUUCCAGGCAAAUCCGGAAAAUCAAGGCUGAGGCGUGAUGACGAGGCACUACGGUGCUGAAGCAACAAAUGCCCUGCUUCCAGGAAAAGCCUCUAAGCAUCAGGUAACAUCAAAUCGUACCCCAAACCGACACAGGUGGUCAGGUAGAGAAUACCAAGGCGCUUGAGAGAACUCGGGUGAAGGAACUAGGCAAAAUGGUGCCGUAACUUCGGGAGAAGGCACGCUGAUAUGUAGGUGAAGCGACUUGCUCGUGGAGCUGAAAUCAGUCGAAGAUACCAGCUGGCUGCAACUGUUUAUUAAAAACACAGCACUGUGCAAACACGAAAGUGGACGUAUACGGUGUGACGCCUGCCCGGUGC
rnacentral:rRNA from 1 species